rnacentral:rRNA from 1 species
AUUGAACGCUGGCGGAAUGCUUUACACAUGCAAGUCGAACGGUAGAGGGGGCAACCCCUCGAGAGUGGCGAACGGGUGAGUAAUAUAUCGGAACGUGCCCAGUCGUGGGGGAUAACGUAGCGAAGUUACGCUAAUACCGCAUACGAUCUAAGGAUGAAAGCGGGGGAUCGCAAGACCUCGCGCGAUUGGAGCGGCCGAUAUCAGUUUAGGUAGUUGGUGGGGUAAAGGCUCACCAAGCCAACGAUCUGUAGCUGGUCUGAGAGGACGACCAGCCACACGGGAACUGGGACACGGUCCAGACUCCUACGGGAGGCAGCAGUAGUGAAUAUUGGACAAUGGGUGCGAGUCUGAUCCAGCCAUGCCGCGUGCAGGAAGACGGCCUUCUGGGUUGUAAACUGCUUUUGCCAGGUGAUAAAACGGCUCUGCGGAGCUAAUUGAAGGUACCUGGUGAAUAAGCCACGGCUAACUACGUGCCAGCAGCCGCAGUAA